UGAGGAAUAUUGGGCAAUGCCCGAAAGGGUGACCCAGCAACGCCGCGUGGCGGAUGAAUGUCGUAAGAUUGUAAACUCCUGUUAGAGGGGAAGAAUAGUACCGGUUGGACCGGUAUAUGACUGUACCCUCAGAGAAAGCCCCGGCUAACUACGUGCCAGCAGCCGCGGUAAUACGUAGGGGGCAAGCGUUGUCCGGAUUUACUGGGUGUAAAGGGUGCGCAGGCGGAUGGGUAAGUCAGGGGUGAAAGUCUGCUGCUUAACUGUAGAAUUGACUUUGAUACUGCUCAUCUUGAGUGGGGGAUAGGUUGAUGGUAUUCCAGGUGUAGCAGUGAAAUGCGUAGAUCUCUGGAAGAACACCAGUGGCGAAGGCGGUCAACUUGCCCAUAACUGACGCUCAUGCACGAAAGCGUGGGGAGCAAA
rnacentral:rRNA from 1 species